AGGAGGGGCUGGUCUUGGCUCACUUUGGGGGAGAAGGAAAAACGGCACGGCCAGUUGGCUGGCGCAAGCGUGUUCGGCUGCGAUCUGGCGGCGCCUGCGCUCUUCGCUGGCUGGGGAGGGGGGCGGGGUUGCUGUCUCCCGGCGGAAGUUCACAGGUGAGUGAUCGCCUGGUGUGUCAGUUACCGUACCGGAAUGCGGGAGCGAAGGGGUUGAAGCGACGACGCCAGAUCAAUAUUUUCCAAUCAACCUGCUUUGAGAUGUUAUUACCUACCUGUGGAGCAGGUGGAACUUGAACCCAGGCUUCCUGGCACAAAGCUACUGGGACCUUUCUAGGAUCUAGGGAUUUUUGGAAGAUUGCAACCUAGGAUUCCACUGUCUCUGCAGCUACUCUUUUGAGAUCCUAGCAACCCGAUACUUUGGAACCUCGAUGAUCCUGCAUUCGAUUAUCCAAAUGUCGGAUUACCUGACAAGAUCGCACGAUCCUGAUGCUUGGCUAAACUAUGUUAUUCGAUUAUCCUGAAUUUGAUUAACUGAACAAAAUACUCUCUGUCCGUGUCCUUUGGAUAAUAGAGGUUCUGCUGUAUUAGUUUGUCGAGUACGUUUUCUCCACUGAAAAUUGUUUUAAGUUUCUCCCUUUUGUGCAGAUGUUCUGCUAUUAUUAGCACCCCCAACACACAUUUGCAAAAUGUUUGUUUAAAUUCUCUGCUUUUCCCUGUAUUCCAAUUUUAAUUCCAUACACUCAUCUGCUAAGCGAUCAAUGUUUACUUUAGCUACUCUCUUCCUUUCAUGUACUUCUUAUUGUUUGAUUUAUUUGAUUCUUGAUAAUUUAAUGCUAAUCAAUCUUUUCCCAGCUUACAAUGUUUUUAGUUAUAGUUUUGUGGAGUGGCAACUGUGAAAUGUAAAGAACUGGAGAAGUCCUCUGACAAACUUGUUCCUCCACAGUUAGCUAUGAGAAUUUAUUGGUUGGAUCCAACCAGAACAAAUCCGAUUUUUUGAGACCACCAUGACUUUAUGCAUAUGUGCAGAGUCAGGCCCCAAUUCAAAACUACUGACUUCCUUUGUUUUUUGUGAAGACUGGGAAUGGCUGCAGAUAUAUGAACCUUUUACUCAAAAUGGACACCUUUGGCAGGUGACAUACAAACAAAUGGAUAGAAACAUCCGUUUUUGUAUUUUUUUGCUAGCUCAAUGCCACCUAAGUAAUUGGGCAAAUAGGAAAUAGUGACUGCUGCAGAAAAUUAGAUGUGCAAAACAAACUGGGAGAAUCCAGACUGAAUAAGCAGGAUGAUGGAAAUUAUUUUUAUUCUUUCACAGAACGUGAGUUUCGCUGGUAAAGCCAGCAUUUAUUGUCCUUGAGAAGGUAGGAAAGAGCUGCUACCAUGAAUUGCUCUGGUCCAAAUAUUAGGGAAGAAGUUCUAAAACUGUAACCCGGUGACAGUGCAGAAAUUAUAAUGUAUUUUAAUAUUAUAUUGUUAUAUGACUUGGAGGAGGAUUUGUAGGUGAUGGUGUGCCAGAAGACCUUAUUUUUAUCAGUGUUGGAGGUUUGGAAAUUGCUGUCAAAAAAGCCUUGGCAAGAUGCUGCAUUAUAUCUUAUAGAUGUCAUGCAUUGCUGCUAGAUUUCAUUGGUGAAUGCCAGUAGGGUAGGAUGCCAGUCAAGCUGGAAGAUUAGUCAGGUAAAAACAAGGACUGCAGAUGCUGGAAACCAGAUUCUAGAUUAGAGUGGUGCUGGAAAAGCACAGCAGU